rnacentral:rRNA from 1 species
CUAAGUUUGAUGGCGACCGGCGCACGGGUGAGUAACACGUAUCCAACCUGCCGAUGACUCGGGGAUAGCCUUUCGAAAGAAAGAUUAAUACCCGAUGGCUAUAGUUCUUCCGCAUGGUGGAACUAUUAAAGAAUUUCGGUCAUCGAUGGGGAUGCGUUCCAUUAGGUUGUUGGCGGGGUAACGGCCCACCAAGCCUUCGAUGGAUAGGGGUUCUGAGAGGAAGGUCCCCCACAUUGGAACUGAGACACGGUCCAAACUCCUACGGGAGGCAGCAUG